UACGUAGGGUGCAAGCGUUAAUCGGAAUUACUGGGCGUAAAGCGUGCGCAGGCGGCUUUGCAAGACAGAUGUGAAAUCCCCGGGCUCAACCUGGGAACUGCAUUUGUGACUGCAAGGCUGGAGUGCGGCAGAGGGGGAUGGAAUUCCGCGUGUAGCAGUGAAAUGCGUAGAUAUGCGGAGGAACACCGAUGGCGAAGGCAAUCCCCUGGGCCUGCACUGACGCUCAUGCACGAAAGCGUGGGGAGCAAACAGG
rnacentral:rRNA from 1 species